UUCAAAAUGACAUUAUCCUAUAUUAUGUUGACUGGACGUAGCUUUAUCUACUCUGUUUUAUGGGUACUAUUGUUCAAAAUAUUUUUAUUUUAUUGUUAUAUAUAACAUACAACGUUCAAAUUCUUAUACUGAUGAAUUAGCCAUACAUCCCCAGUCAUCUAGAAAUAUGUCGGGCUAUCUUCAUAACAAGGCGAAGUGUCAAUAAGUCUGACUCGCUUGAAAACCAAAUGUAAGGGCGAAUGAAACAUGCACUAGUAGUAAAACUAUUUAUUAUUACCAUCCUAUACAGAGAGCUCUAUAUUUAAGAAGUGGGAAGUAAAGAAGACAUCUAUUUAAUCUACUAUCAGUUCCUUCUUCUUCUUCUUAUGUUAGGACUAGGUCCUGUAUUUUCAUCAAGGGUUUGCCAGGAGUAAUUGGGAUGCUGAGGACCAGCUUUCAUACCACCUUUUAGGUGGUCGUCCAGGAGGUCGAGUGGAGACUUAAACUUUCAGUUUAAGCCUGAAAAUCUCCCAAUUUUUUACAUAUGGAUAUGCAACUGGAUUUGUCACUACAUACUUAGUCUAGCCAAUGAAGAAUCUAUC